UACAGAGGGCGCAAGCGUUAUCCGGAAUUAUUGGGCGUAAAGAGCUCGUAGGCGGUUUGUCGCGUCUGCCGUGAAAGUCCGGGGCUCAACUCCGGAUCUGCGGUGGGUACGGGCAGACUAGAGUGAUGUAGGGGAGACUGGAAUUCCUGGUGUAGCGGUGAAAUGCGCAGAUAUCAGGAGGAACACCGAUGGCGAAGGCAGGUCUCUGGGCAUUAACUGACGCUGAGGAGCGAAAGCUGGGGAGCGAACAGG
rnacentral:rRNA from 1 species